rnacentral:lncRNA from 1 species
GAUGCGGCAACACUACAUCUGGAGACCACGCCUUCAACACACAAACCGUUUGGAAGAAUGUUUUAUAUUCAGUCAGGACAGUGCUGCACUGGGGCUUUUACACAGCUCAAAGACAGUUGGAGAAAAUGAUGACUGGCCUUGCUGGUGAUAGGAAAGGCAGCCUGGAGAUGCCAUUCCUGAAGAGAGAAUGAGGAUCGCAUUACAGACGGGUCUUUAUUGAUAUACUUGACAUCUGCAGCAUACAAACAUGUAUCAGAGAAACAAAUGCUUGAAAUACUUUAUUUUUUAAUUUUUUAAAAUGUAUAUUCUUAUCUCAUAUAUUACAUCUUGACUGCUAUUCAGGUUUCUCUCCCUCCCCUCCCCUCCCCUCAGCCUCUCCUCACCACCCCCUUCUCCCCCAGAUACAUACCCUGCCUUCUUUCAGAAUAGUCAAAUACUUUAAAUAAGAAAAAGAAAACUAUAUUUUCGUACUAUUUAAAGCCAUAUAUUUAAACAUUAGGCAAUAUGAUAGAGUUGUCAAAAUUAGCAGGGACAUUAUUUUUUGUUAUGCUUUUGAAUAGAUAACAAACCGACAGGAGGCAGCAAGUAUCGUGAACAAUGGGGAGGUGCUGCUGUCUGAGUGGAAGGAGAGGUCCUACUUGUGAUAUGUCAUCUGGCAGGCGCGGUUCCCAUCUCAACUAAGAAAAAAAUCUAGAAAAGUACCAGUGACAAAUAAGCAGCUGCCCACAAACACCCAGCUCCAUCUGACCCCCAACUUCUGAUGGGGCAUCAUCUGUUUCAUUCCCUGAACCCUUCUGUCUUCACAUUCUCCAGAAAUAGAGAUGUGAAAGUUACAUCCAUGAUUUAAAAAUAACUGUCGUAGCAAUACCUAGCCCUGCUCGGGGUUGGGUAGAAAAAUGUUGAGGGGAAAACUUGAGGGGUGGGUAGCAAAUAUAAAAUUCUCCUCUGUAGUUUCUCUGGUCUUACUGCAAGAAGUUCCCCUGGCUGCCAUAUUCUUUGUUUCCAGAGCUAUGAAAGGAUCAGGAGGACUGGAGCGGUCAGAAGACAGGAAGAGUUAAGACAUCGAAGCCCUGAAGAGAAAGAGUGCAGGAGCUUGAGGUUUUGGCGAGCGAGCUUCAUGUUGGUCCUCCAGGGUAGAGACAUUUUAAAGGAAGAAAUUCCAGCUCUCGUUCUUUCUCACCAUGGUGCAUCGCCGAAAUCUUUAACACCUUCCAAGGUUGCUGCUGGGGAAAGGAGAUUGCGUUUUUGUUGUUGUUGUUGUUGUUGUUGUUGUUUUGUUUUUUGGAUAUGGUCACUAGUAGGCUCCCUAUGUUCCAGUAGAUGGUCCCACACUCAGGCACACACUAGCCACUCUAAGUGGGUUGGGUGAGUUGAAGAGAGAACAUAUGAAAUUAGGGAGAAAAAGUUGAGGCAAAUAGGAGGAAUUGAAAGUGAGGGAAUGGGAUAUAAAUUUGAUCAUAACACCAUAUAGUCAUGAAUAAAAUUAUCCAUCAAUGAACUUUAAUUACUGGCCCAUGAUUUUCAGGAGACAUUCAGACGACUCUUAAAACUUGCAUGACUUUGCUUUGAAAUCUGGUUGUCUACCUCUUACUAUGAGAACCCUUUACUAUGUUCAUCUAUUAAAUGACGCAGUCCCUUUGUUGGUAGUGGUGUUUCUUGGGACAGGGUUUUGCAACAUAGCCUGGAACUUUUGGUGAUCCUCCUGCCUCAGCCGCCUGAGUGCUAGGAUUACAGAUGUUGAUCUAAUGGAUCUUGCACAUAUACUAUAUUCUUGAAAACCUUUUGUCUUCAUUUAUGUGUUUGUGUGUGUGUGUGUGUGUGUGUGUGUGUGUGUGUGUGUGUAGAUUCCACCCAAGAUCCUUUCCUUUGCAUCCAGUUUUCUGGCCUCCUUUGAACAUUUAAUGCCAUAUGAAGUGCACAAGUUUAUCACACAGAACAUGCAUGGUAGUUAAAUCUCUGUGUUAUUAUACAUUUUAUUUAUAUUUUAUAAAUACUUAAAGCUAGUAAAAUAUCUAUAUGAUUAAUUAUUGAAGAAGAAACUACCAUACAAAAUAGGUAGCUAAUAUAUACUGAAUAUAAUAUUGAAAGGAAUAAUGAUUAGAUUUACUAAGAGGACCUAGAAAGAUAGUUUGCCAGCAUCUAGUCAAAUAAUGAGAAUUUAAUGAUGAGGAGGCCGAAUCUUAAGGAAGCUGGUGGACUUGAUUGGCAAGGUGACUUUAUGAGCCACAGAGAAGAGUAAAGUUUUGCACACUUUUACUAUCUGCCAUGUUUUAGGCACAGUUGUUACAAAAUGACUUCUUUAUUCUUUCAAUAGACAUAUAAAGUACCUCAUUUUAUAGACAAAGAAAGACAUACAGGAGCAUUGGGUGUUUCCAAGCAUUGUAAAGAGCAGAAUCAGAAUAAACUCUCAGCUAGAUGCCAGACAGAGUGUUCAUGCUUAACCAUUUGAUGACAGAGAUUAGAAUUUUAAAAUUUUCUGAAGCAGUUGGAGAGGCCGCCUUUCCUGUUAAUUAUAAGAGCAACUGGAAAAGCAAUCAAGCAGCAACAUUUCGGUAUUCUCCAAAGUUUGUGUAUAGUCAAAGCCACGGUCUCAGCGUUCACUUUGUCGAGACUCCCUCACCUCUUUAUAAUCUCUUCGGAUAGCAGAACAUUCUUCCCCAGCAGAGCCAACCUCAAAGGCAGACAUGCUCCUGCUCUUCAGUGUCUUGGAGCUCUUCUGAGCUUGUACUUUGCCCACCCUCCCUAAUUCUGUUGCUCUUUAUGCCCGGCUACCAUCUUCUCAGCUUGUCAGAUUCUAACAAUCCACUUAACUCAUUGCAGCAUUUUUCUCUCACUGCAAAUAGAAAGGACAAGUCUACUGCAUCUUCCACAUGAUCAUUUCUCAAAUAUCAAAAAGUACAGCUAGAGUAGACUACUUACAUUUGGGGUUUUCUUUCCCCAGAUUAAAUACCCCUAAUUGCCUUGAUUCUAAUGGUUUGUCAAAAUUAUGACCUAAUAUAUUUGUGAUAACAUA